AGGGCGGUCAGAUUUGCAUGAAUUUUUGCACACUUCGUCGAUCUAUGGGUUGUCAUAUUACUGACCAGGGAGUAGGAAAAAAGCCUAAUUUAUGUACGGUGUUGGACAAUCGAGGCCAGGCUGAGUCCACUCAAUCUGCUUCGCAUCUGCGGCAUCAAUGUGUUGCGGUCUUAUAUUCACCGACACGCUGCACUUAUGCUUGGAAUUUCGCUUGUGGGUUUUUGUUUAUAAUGUGGGGUGAUGGAGUCCUGAACAUGGCUGGUUUAUUAACUGUGCGGUGUGCACCCCGCGGUUGCGAGAACGCCCGGGACUGAGUGGUUUUCGAGAUGCUAAUCUCGUGUUUUAGCAGCUUAGGGUUGUUAAUCUUCACCGUGAUAGAGCUAGUUUUCUUUUUCUUUUUCUUUUUCUUUUUUUCCUUUGGUCAUGGUGAUGUUGAAUUUUUUUUGAGACUCUUGGACUUACUUAGCACGUUGAUAAGGCAAUGAGAACAAUCGCGUACCGUUUUUUAGGUGCAAACUUGUGUGCGUGAAGAAUUCUUUUAAACAAUGGGAUGCAAUUCAAGCACCGGUUUCUUGAACAACGCAAUGACUGUUGAAUUCACGCAGUUGAAUCUCAUGAACAUGAGAUAAUAUGAGCACAUGACGUCAGGGUUGUUGUUGUUGCUCAUGGAGCGCAAAUGUCCUUAUUAAUCAACAUCCUGACACAAUAAGUGCUCUUCUUACCCUCAAGUUCGUUAACUAAAGUUUUUGAGGUUUUUGAGGAGCAUUUACUUGUUCUAGAGAGCGUUUGAGCAUUCUCCACAUCGCGUGGUUCUGUUAUGCACCAGUGACAUUGUUGCACAAGUAAACACUUACUCAUUAAAUUUGCUGAGAAACUACGCCCUGUGUCUUGCAUGGCGGGGCUUCCAGGUGAAAAAAUCCACGCUAGCUGUUAUUAUGGACAAGUUUUCCUUUUACUUAUUCAGAGUACUGUGAUGAAUCCUCACAUGGGAUAAAAUUGCAAUUUCAAAUUUUGAUUAGGCUCAGUCUACAUCUCUUGAACCAAUCUUUGCCCAUCAUGAUAUUCGCAACGGCAAAUCUCAUCAGUUCGAUGUCAUGAUUUGUGUAUCUCAUGAUAUUGUUGCUUGAAAUGUAAAUCGAGUGUUUGAUGCCCCGCUCAUAAGUGAAUUCUCUUGCCAGUUACCAACAGGUUCAAAAUUUUGGUGGAGGAAAGAAAGAAAAUGGAAAUGCCAUCUCAUACUCUCUCGGCAGUUUGUUGCUAUGCGGGUUUUCUGUAGAAUAAUAAAUGGAUACUCGCCGAAAUGGCUCUUACUU